UGACAGCCACAAGUCUUCUUUAGCAGU
rnacentral:piRNA from 1 species